AUGAACGCCCGUCCCUGGAGAUCUCCUUCUUCUCGUCCUCGAGCUUGCCUCGAGCUCCGAUGCCGCCGGAGCACCAGCAGCCAACAAGAGCUCGCCGCCGGCGACCAGCAGGAUGAUGCGGACAUAGCUAGUAUAAAAACGUUUACACAUAUUACACGGCAAAUAAAUGACCAGGUAAUGUUGUUCCUCGGUGCAUAUAAUUUGACUAUAAGAAGAAGCCAAUACUAUCUUCAUGUUUUAAUCUGCUUGUACUCAGGCACAAAGGUGUUGACGAAAGAAGAUUACAUGGAGUUAGAUGCAUGCAUGGAAUCAGCCCAGCCAUCCAUGUUGUAUGCUACGUGCAACCUAGAAGAUGCAUGCAAUCAAGUCAAACAAUGGGUCCCACGUGUGCAUGCAAUCAAGAUCCUGGCAUGUUUUCACAUAUGCGUUUCGGGAGGAGUUUUGCUUGUGGCAAACACACAUGCAACACAGACGAGGAGCUAUGGCCCAUCCCUGGUGCUAGGGCCCAUCGGCCUAGAAGCGGGCGACACCAACAUAACACCAGAACGGAUACGCAUCUACGUCCAUCCAAGAGAUCUACGCAUCCCGGCUCCGUCGUAUACUCCUUCAAUAAAUAGCUAG
rnacentral:rRNA from 1 species